ACUGCUCAGUAACACGUGGACAACCUACCCAAAAGUCCGGGAUAACCCCGGGAAACUGGGGAUAAUACCGGAUAGAUCAUCUGUGCUGGAAGGCUGGGUGGUUGAAACUUCCGGGGCUUUUGGAUGGGUCUGCGGCUGAUUAGGUUGUUGCCGGUGUAACGUACCGUCAAGCCUGUAAUCAGUACGGGUUGUGGGAGCAAGAGCCCGGAGAUGGAUUCUGAGACACGAAUCCAGGCCCUACGGGGCGCAGCAGGCGCGAAAACUCUACAAUGCAGGCAACUGCGAUAGGGGAACAUCGAGUGAUCCUCAUAUUGGGGGUCUGUCCACCCGUCUAAAAAACGGGUGUUAGCAAGGGCCGGGCAAGACCGGUGCCAGCCGCCGCGGUAAUACCGGCGGCUCGAGUGGUGGCCGAUAUUAUUGAGUCUAAAGGGUCCGUAGCCGGCUUUGCAAGUCUCUCGGGAAAUCCAGCGGCUUAACCGUUGGUCGUCCGGGGGGUACUACAUUGCUUGGGACUGGGAGAGGUAGGAGGUACUCAGGGGGUAGGAGUGAAAUCCUGUAAUCCUCUGGGGACCACCGGUGGCGAAGGCGUCCUACCAGAACAGGUCCGACGGUGAGGGACGAAAGCUAGGGGCACGAACCGGAUUAGAUACCCGGGUAGUCCUAGCCGUAAACGAUGCUCGCUAGGUGUCACAACAGUCGUGAACUGUUGUGGUGCCGUAGGGAAGCCGUGAAGCGAGCCACUUGGGAAGUACGACCGCAAGGUUGAAACUUAAAGGAAUUGGCGGGGGAGCAC
rnacentral:rRNA from 1 species